AAAAAUUGCAGAAAAAUCUUAUAAGUUAAAAUGUUGUUAAAAUUUUAGAGUAAGAAAAAGAAACAUUUUUCGCGUGGUGAAAAUGAAGCUAAAUUUUGUUUGCACACUAACAGCGACUUAAAAAUAAUAAAAUUGGUAUCAAAAUCUGGUGUGGGGUGCCUAAGAGGUCCGCCCACCCUCAAAACCCGGCGAAUGGAUUUAUAGACCAAUCACUACAACAUGGGACUGAAAUUAAAGUAAUUGAGAGUAGAAAACGAAUCUGAUAUCCAAUUGUGGAACUAUUUGUUUCAUGGGGCACCCCACACCCAUAAAACCCCUCAAAUCUGACAUGCUUACCGACCAUUGCAAUAUGGAUCUUAAAUGGAAAAUCUUUGGGAAUAGAGCGCGAAAUUUACUUUCACCAUUGCAAUGUGGGGUUUAAACAAGAGAUACUUGAGUGUAGAAAAAUCCAUAGGAAAAUUGGAAUACAUUUUCAACUAUAA